UCCGAUAUGGUGUAGUGGCUAACAUUAUCGCCUCUCAUGGGAUUCAAUGAGAUUCAAUGAAUCACGUGCGCGAUAGCCCGGGGUUCGAUUCCCCGUGUCGGAA